UAUAUGUGUGUGUGUGUGUGUGUGUGUACGUGUACUGUACACACACAUACAGACACACGCACAAAUAUAUAUA
rnacentral:miRNA from 1 species